UGUGAGAUCAUGACCUGACCCGAAGCUGGACACUCAACAGACUGAGCCACCCAGGCGCCCCCAAGGACUGAUUAUAUUCUUGUUUCUUAUCGUCUUGCAAGGAAGCUGUCACAAAUCAUUUCAUUCAAGUGUGUUAAGUAUAAUGGUACGGGGUAGAAACAUGCAAAAGGGGAACGCGUGACCUAGCUUCAGUUGACUAGCAUGUAAGAGAAGUUUUCUAGAAAAGGAUUCAGUCUUAGCUGUGUAAUAUCAACUGAUUACAAAGAGGGCACCAACAGUUUCUCCCAUUCAUGUAGGCAUGUGCCCCUCUUUCCAUCCAGUUGGGAGUCAUUUUCCCAUUGUCUUGAAUGUGCACUGGUCCUGAGUCGUGUUUUAAUUAAUAGAAAAUGAUAGGAGUGAUAUUGUAUGACUUUUAGGCCCAGGAUUUAAAAGACCUAGCAGUUUCUGUUAACUUUUCUUGGAAGGUACUCAUUGUAAAGAAGUCUAGAUACCUUUGAGAAGAGAUAGUCUUUGGAAACAGAGAGACGCUAAAUAAUAAGACUAAGAAACGGAGAGAGAGAAGUCGACCCCUAACCAUUUCAGCUGUACCAGAUGAGGCAAGACACUUAUCAGUGACACCAUUUUCUGUGCCCAGCUCUCGAUGAGUUGUCCCAGAAACCACAUGAAAUGGAAAUGCAUGAGUCGUGCUUGUCUUCCCAAGGAGUAGAAUGAUGAGCAAAUAUUUUUUUUUUGUCAUUUUAAGCAAGUAAUUGUGGUGAUUUGUCACAUAGCAAUAGAUAAGUGAAAACACGAACAAUGAAAAUAUGCAAGAAUGAGGAGAUGGAGGUGGGAAGUUAGAAUGUAAGAUAUAGGGACAUUCCAAACUUUGCAAUUUCAUUUUCUAUGGGCAACAUAUGACUAUGUCCUUAACAAUAUAACCAAUUAUUUGCCAUGAAUUAUAAUUUUAACUGGAUAACUUGAACUCAUUUGUACAACAUUUGUAAGUACGCAAAAUUGUGUCUUUUCAGUAAAACUGGCUGUGCUUUUCCCCAGAUGUCCUUUCUUGCUUUACAUUGUAGAGGCUUUCGUUGCAAGACACAUCUGUCCUGAGAAUUUUCAGGUGCUUACUUGAGAACUUUUUCAUCAUCUCAAACAGAAACUCUGAACUCAUUAAACUACUGUAUCCCUUCCUCCAAGCCCUUGCACUUUCAACAAUAGCCAAAUUAUGGAAAGAGCCUAAAUGUCCA